UACGAAGGGUGCAAGCGUUACUCGGAAUUACUGGGCGUAAAGGGUGCGUAGGUGGUUGUUUAAGUCUGUUGUGAAAGCCCCGGGCUCAACUUGGGAAUGGCAAUGGAUACUGGACAGCUAGAGUGCGGUAGAGGGUAGUGGAAUUCCCGGUGUAGCAGUGAAAUGCGUAGAGAUCGGGAGGAACACCAGUGGCGAAGGCGGCUACCUGGACCAGCACUGACACUGAAGCACGAAAGCGUGGGGAGCAAACAGG
rnacentral:rRNA from 1 species